rnacentral:rRNA from 1 species
UAGCAUAAUAAAUAGUCUUUUAAUUGGAGUCUAGUAUGAAUGGUCGGACAUGAAGUAAGCUGUUUUAAUUUUUAUAUUUGAAUUUUACUUUUAAGUGAAAAGGCUUAAAUUAUAUGGUGGGACGAUAAGACCCUGUAAAGCUUUACGUUUUAUUCUUCAGUUAUAGGAUAUAAGGUUUCUUAUUCUCAUGUAAUAGAAUGUUUUGUUGGGGCGAUGGAAAUAUAAAUUAGUAACUGUUUUUAUUUUAAAAAUAUGUUUUUAUAGGAGAGCUGAUCCUUAUGUAGAGAUUAAAAGAUUUAAGUUACUUCAGGGAUAACAGCGUAAUUUAUCUUGAGAGUUCAUAUCGACAGAUAUAGUUGCGACCUCGAUGUUGAAUUAAAAUACCCCCUAGGUGUAGCAGUUUUGGUGGUAGGUCUGUUCGACCUUUAAAA